rnacentral:rRNA from 1 species
CUUUAGAGGUUCGUGGUAGGAGAGCGUUCUAAGGGCGGUGAAGUCAGACCGGAAGGACUGGUGGAGCGCUUAGAAGUGAGAAUGCCGGUAUGAGUAGCGAAAGAAGGGUGAGAAUCCCUUCCACCGAAUAUCUAAGGUUUCCUGAGGAAGGCUCGUCCGCUCAGGGUUAGUCGGGACCUAAGCCGAGGCCGAUAGGCGUAGGCGAUGGACAACAGGUAGAGAUUCCUGUACCAGUGCUAAUUGUUUAACCGAUGGGGUGACACAGAAGGAUAGGGAAUCGCACGAAUGGAAAUGUGCGUCCAAGCAGUGAGUGUGAGAAGUAGGCAAAUCCGCUUCUCACGAAGCAUGAGCUGUGAUGGGGAAGGAAAUUAAGUACGGAAGUUCCUGAUUUCACGCUGUCAAGAAAAGCCUCUAGGAAGAGUAGUACUGCCCGUACCGCAAACCGACACAGGUAGAUGAGGUGAGAAUCCUAAGGUGAGCGAGAGAACUCUCGUUAAGGAACU